CAGACCCAGUCGUCCUCGUCCUGAUGCCCUCGCAGUCUCGCACUGCCGCCCGACCCCGACCCCGGCGCGGCAAGCCGGCAGCCGCCUCCCCAUUCCUCGCCGCCGGUCGCGCCCCCUCCGCCGUAAAGGAAGAUCCCGCCUCUCGUCCCGCCCGCCCGUGCGGCCCUCGGGUCCAGCCGACGCCUCCUUGUGUGCAGCCCUGCUCCAGCGAGCGGCUGCGCCCCUGCCGUCGGCCGGCUGCCGGGACUGCUGGCGCCCCUGCCCUCGCGGCCUCGCCCCCUGCUGCAAAUCUGGCCAAAACCAGAAUACCCUGCCUGAUUUAAGAUUUGUUGUAAAAUGAAGAGGGCCGGAGAUCACUUUAGAAGAGAAUUUUUUUGGAGUCAUUGAUCAAAUUAGUCAAGAGCUUGAAAAUCGGUUUGAUGAGAUCAACAUGGAGUUGUCAUCUUCUAUAUCUGCUUUGAAUCCCGCCAACUCAUUUGCUGCUUUUGAUGCACAAAUGGUAUGCAAGGUACAAAGACUUGUUGAGUUUUAUCCCAAAGAUUUUUCAAGUGAUGACUUGAUACACCUUAAACUACAAGUUCAUAACUAUAUAGAUGACAUGAAAAAAGAUGACAACUUCCGAGGCCUUGGAAAUCUUGUUGAUCUCUCGGUUAAGCUUGGUCAAAUAGGGAGACAUAUAGUUCAUCAUUUGGUGUACUUGCUUCUAAAAUUGGUAUUUAUUCUACCGGUGGCAACAACAAAUGUUGUGAGCGCAUUUUUUGCCAUGAGCAUAGUCAAGAGCAAGUUGAGAAAUAAGAUGGGCGAUAGUCUUUUGGAUGAUUGUCUAGUCACAUGUGUUGAGAGAAAUCCUUUCUCCAAGGUGAAUGAACAUGAUAUAAUUGAUACCUUCAUGACAAUGCAAAAGCGUAGGCCGAAAACAUAGUGUUUUUAAACUUCUCAAGGUAUGUCUAUGAUCCAUGUAGUAUAUAUGUACUAUGUAGGUUUCUUUAUGCAAAACUUAGUCUUAAUUGAGAAUUCUAGUUUGUUUGUAAGACCAUAUUGAUCUAUUUCUAUGUGAUACUGUGAACUAGUUAGAACGUUCACAUGUCGCAUUUUUUGUCAAAAAAUUUUUUGGGGGGCGGACCACCCUGAUGUGAAAAGCUAGCUCCGCCACUGCGUACAGCGGAGGUGUUCCGGGAUGAUGAGGAGUUCCAACAAAUGGAAGAAGCGGCGGCACUCCCCGACAACCUCCUUCGUGGAAUCCUCGAGCGCCUUGAUCCGCGCAAGGCGGCGACCCUUCCCUCACUGGCUCUUCCUCCUGCACCUUGACGUCAGCCACUUCCCUGGCGGUACACGGGUCGAGAUCAUGGGCACAUUCACGGCCACAACACAUCCAGGCAGGGAUUCUUGGCCAACCCCACAUCCUUCUCCUAGCCGCGUCCAGGCAGGGAAACAGUGAUCCAGCGGCAAUGACAAAGUUGAUUCAAGCCAGCUCCUUGCCUUGGUGAAGCUGUGAUGUGGGAUGGCGCCAUGGCAGUGGUACUCCAGCCCAAUGCCACGAUGCAAGAAGAACCGCUCAAUAUUUCCUCAGCCGUCGUCUCCGUCGACUUCGCCGCAAGGCCAUCUGUGAUCACCUGCUCCGACUUGGGAGGAAGACCAUCAGCUAUCACCAAGACCUAAUUUGCCACAGGUACUUUUGGAGCAUCUGAUGGGUCUUGUCUGUUUGUCAAUUCGUCAGUUUAAUGUAGCCAAUGUAGCUGUUGCCGACAGUAGACUACAUUUGACUGACAAGCAACACAUGCCCUCCUACAUUUGACCGACAGAUCCUGUUUGUACUUGACAGCAGAAGACUAAAUUCGUAAAAGAAGAUGUCUGUGAUGAGUUCACUGGUUAAAAAAAUACAGGAUGCUUAAGUGACCCCAUUGUAUGAAUAUGUUUGUUUAAAAACAAGCUAGCAUGUUCCUAUAUUUUCUGUUAUGUAUGUUAGUUGAAUUUAUUUAAAACAAUUUACAAAACGAGUUUACUGAUGCCUGGAGGUAAUUAGCCAGUCACUGAAUGCUUCCUCUGUUGAUGUUGCUUCUUUAGGUAAAGACCUAGCCAAAUGGGGAUAUGCAAUUUGUAUAUGGGGACACUCAAUUUAUUUUUUGCAGUAACCUGAAAUUGUUUAGCAAAUAUUUAUUGGUAGCCAAGAAACUUACUCUGAUAAAUAAUCUACAAUCAGAAAAUUAAGAGUAUGUUAUUCUUCUAAUACAUGUCCUGUUAUCCACGUAGCAGAUCCGUCAUGUUUCUGCAAUGUCACAUCCACACUCAAGCUAGAAUGCAGAUAGAGGAUUGGACUUUCAGUAUACCGCAUAAUAGAGAUGUGUCAUGCUAUCUAAUCAUGGUUUGGAGAGGUUAAACUUCAUAGUUAUGUUUUUCGGUAUGCUCAGAGAUAAUAAAACUUGAUGAGGCCUCUUACAACGCACUGCUGAUAUGACAGAUCGAGGGAAAGAAUUAAAGAAGAUAUUGCUAAAAUGAAUACCAUUUUAAUUGCUAUUUCCUUUACAAAAAUCCACUCUUGAGCUUUGCGCCAAUCAAUUUCUUCCUUUGUAUGACUUAACCUUCAUU